UUCCUUUCAUACACACAAUACAUACACACAUAUAUAUGUAUAUUACAUAUGUAGUGCUGAGCUCACUACAGUUGUACACAGCAGCCAAGGAGCAUUUUUCAAGGUUAAACAAUUCAACUCUAUAACGGAAUACUACAGACUGGGUCAUUUAUAAAAAACAAACGUUUAUGUGGCUCACAGUUCUGGAGGCUGGGAAGUCCAAGGGCAUGGCACUGGCAUCCAGCAAGGGUCAUCCCAUGGCAGAAGUAUGGAAGGCAGAAGUAAGUCCAUGAGUCAGAGAGAAACAUUGAUCUGAACUAAUCCUUUUUAUCAAGAACACACUCCUUCAAUAACUAACCUAUUCCUGUGAUAACAGCAGUAAUCUCUUCAAGAGGGUAGAGCCCUCAUGGCCUAAUCACCUCUUAAAUGCCCCACCUCUUAAUACUGUUACAAUGACAAUUAAAUUUCAGCAUGAGUUUGGGUGGAAC
rnacentral:lncRNA from 1 species